rnacentral:rRNA from 1 species
UGAGGAAUCUUGCGCAAUGGGGGAAACCCUGACGCAGCAACGCCGCGUGAGUGAGGAAGGCCUUCGGGUCGUAAAGCUCUGUCAGAUGGGAAGAAAUGGGUGGGGGCUAAUAUCGUCCAUCCUUGACGGUACCAUCAGAGGAAGCACCGGCUAACUCCGUGCCAGCAGCCGCGAUAAUACGGGGGGUGCAAGCGUUGUUCGGAAUCAUUGGGCGUAAAGCGCGCGCAGGCGGCUUGGUAAGUCAGGUGUGAAAUCCCUGGGCUUAACCCAGGAGGUGCAUUUGAUACUGCCUCGCUAGAGUACGGGAGAGGAAAGUGGAAUUCCUGGUGUAGAGGUGAAAUUCGUAGAUAUCAGGAGGAACACCGGUGGCGAAGGCGACUUUCUGGCCCGAUACUGACGCUCAGGCGCGAAAGCGUGGGGAGCAAACAG